GACGAACGCUGGCGGCGUGCCUAACACAUGCAAGUUGAGCGACGAACCAGGGCUUGCCCUGGAGCAAAGCAGCGAACGGGUGAGUAACACGUGGGUAACCUACCCCGAUAACCGGGACAACCCGAGGAAACUCGGGCUAAUACCGGAUGUGCUCACUGGACUUCGGUUCAGUGCGUAAAGGAAGCUUCGGCCUCCGUAUCGGGAGGGGCCCGCGGCCCAUUAGUUUGUUGGUGAGGUAACGGCUCACCAAGACCGCGAUGGGUAGCUGGUCUGAGAGGACGAUCAGCCACACUGGGACUGAGACACGGCCCAGACUCCUACGGGAGGCAGCAGUGGGGAAUCUUGCGCAAUGCGCGAAAGCGUGACGCAGCAACGCCGCGUGGGGGAAGAAGGCCUUCGGGUUGUAAACCCCUUUCAGGAGGGACGAAGGUUCGGCGGUGAAUAGCCGUCCGGACUGACGGUACCUCCACAAGAAGCCCCGGCUAACUACGUG
rnacentral:rRNA from 1 species